rnacentral:rRNA from 1 species
UACGUAGGUGGCAAGCGUUGUCCGGAUUUACUGGGCGUAAAGCGUGCGUAGACGGUUACAUAAGUCGGGUGUGAAAGCCCCGGGCUCAACCUGGGAAUUGCAUUCGAGACUGCGUAGCUAGGGUGCGGAAGAGGGAAGCGGAAUUUCCGGUGUAGCGGUGAAAUGCGUAGAUAUCGGAAGGAACACCAGUGGCGAAAGCGGCUUCCUGGUCCAGCACCGACGUCAGGCACGAAAGCGUGGGGAGCAAACAGG